UUUUUUUUUUUUUUUGGUCUUUUUAGGGCAGCACCUAUGGCAUAUGAAAGUUCCCAGGCUAGGCAUCAAAUCAGAGCUGCAGCUGCCAGUCAAUGCCACAGCCACAGAAAUGCAGGAUCCAAGCCCGAGCCACCUCUGGGACUGACACCACAGCUCAUGGCAAUGCCGGAUCCUUAACUGAGAAGGGCCAGGGAUCAAACCCGCAUCCUUACAAUUAACGGCCUGUAUAUUUAUCAUAAUUUGGUCAUUUAUUAACUAGAUGAUCUUGAUAAGGUUGUUUAAUUUUUCCACGUCUCAGUCCUCACGGACACUAGUUGGGUUCAUUACCACUGAGCCACACCGGGAAUUAAGGCAAGUGCUAUUUUUGAACUCUUCUUCACCUUUUCAGCUUCAAUCUUUCAACAAUAAUCUUCCUUCUGGUUUUCCUCCUUUUAUAAGUUCUAUGUUCAUCCCCGAAAUGAACUUAUUCUUUAAGUUUUUGCUCCUGACCUUUUUUCUUCUCACUGCACCUGAUCUUUUUCGGCAGAAUCACUUACAAUUACUGCUGUGAUUCGGAUAAUUCUCAAAUCUAUGUCUGCCAGCCCACUUACACCUCAUCUUUAUUUCUAACACUUUGAAAACAUUUUCUCAUAAAUAGUCACAGAAUUAAACUUAUAAUUUUACCCACACAUCUUACCUUCAUCCGUCCGCUGCUUUCCCAAGUGUCUCCUCUUUCUGUAUUCCCUGCCUUGGUCAAAAGCACCAACUUUCAUCUCAGAUGCCCAAGUUAGGAACAACAGGAUCCAAUUUAACGCCCAAGUGUCAUCUGAGUUUGUUCUCCCCCACUGAGAAGUCAGUUCUGCAUUCCUCCGUUCUCCCAUUUCAAGUUCCCAGGCUUGUUUACCAGACUCCCUGCCUGUGUCGCCCUAAAGGUACGCGCUGGUUAUUUUCUACUCCCCAGUUUUAUAACAUUUGACAAAUUCCCGUUUUUCUCAAAAUAAAGUCUACAUUAUUAGAGUAUCACUCAAGGUCUGCCACCAUCUUCUAUCUCCAAUUUCAUCUGCCAGGCAGCCCACACCAGGGUCCCUUCAGGAUGCUCUGGCAGGAGUGUUGUACAUUGACUUGCCUUGUGAAUUUGACUUUUUCUUUGUCUCACCUUGGCACAUCCUCUAUCCACCUGCAAGGGGAGAGCUCCCUAUUCAUUCCUUAAUGAACUGCUCGAAUGUCUAGUUUUCAGUAAACGUCUCAUCCAGCCCAGAUCAAUCACACAGAUUUGGGGUUUUGUCAUUUCCCAGAUUUUUAUACUGUCUUUUAACACUACAUUGCAAUCUCAUUGAGGGCAGAAAUGAUAUCCUAUAUGACUUUAUCUCCCCUGUCCCCCACCCCAAUAUCUAUCACAGUGUCUGUCACAAUCAUAACUUUGUGUCACCAUGAACACUCGUCUACAUCACACAAAGCUAUCCCAUAUCAGACCUACAUCUCCUUUAAACACAAAGGUUUUACUAAUCCUUGUCUAGCUAUAAAAUGAUAGUCCUUCCAAAAGGACUCACUGCAAUCUAGAAAAAUAGAUACGAAUAACAGAAACAUUAAAUAUUUUUUAAAAAAUAAGUAUCGUUUGUCUGACCUACUUUUUUUUAAUACUUAAUGUAAGUCAGUGAGUCAGAGAAAGACAAAUAUAUGAGAUAAUCAAUAGGUGGAAUCUAAUAAAAAUGAUACAAAAGAACUUACACAACAGAAACAGAAGCAAAGAUUUUGAAACCAAAUAUACGGUUUCCAAAGGGGAAACAUGGGGGCAGGGGGAGGGAUAAAUGGGGAGGUUGGGAUUCACACACUCGUGCACCGCUGUAUAUAAAAGAGAUAAGCAACAAGGCCCUACUGUACAGCACAGGGAAAUCUACUCUUGCUCUGUAAUAACCUAUAUGGGAAAAGUAUCUGAAAAAAGAAUGGAUAUAUGUAUAUGUAUAACUGACUCACCUUGCUGUACACCUGAAAGUAAUCCAAUAUUGUAAGUCAACUACACUCCAAUAAAAUUUUUUAAAAAGGGAGUUCCUGUCAUGGCUCAGCGGUUAACGAAUCUGACUAGCAUCCAAGAAGAUGCAGGUUCGAUCCCUGACCUCGCUCAGUGGGUUAAGGAUCUGGCGAUGCCAUGAGCUGUGGUGUAGGUCGCAGACAGGGCUCGGAUCCCGCCUUGCUGUGGCUGUGGCGGAGGCCAGCAAGCAGCGACAGCACCGAUUCAACUCCUAGUCAGAAUCUCCAUAUGCCGUGGGUGCAGCCCUGAAAAGCAAAAAAAAAUUUAAAAAGUAAGAGCCAUCAGUGAAAGAGUUGUGCAAAUCUAGGAUUCAUCCCAUUGUUUUCUUGGAGUAACAGGUGGGUGCUUUCUUGUCUUGGGUGCCAUUCAAUCAAGCAUACACACCAUCUGGCGUCUUGUCUGCUGAGCCCCAUCAGCUGCCUGGCUUUGUUUUACAUCAUAUACUGCAUGGACCACGUCCUCCGCUCACAGACGCUUCCAGGUUCCUUUCUGUGAAUUGCACUCACAAGGGAAACUCUGCACACGACACCCUCCAUUGCUGACUGAGCAACAGCCAGUCUUCCUUCCUGAGAGUUUACGGCGACCAACAUCCUCGCUCAUGUUUGUUAACUGUAAUUUUGUCAUGCUUCCUCGUGGCAGAUCUUCCUAUUUCAAAGAUUCGUUUUCAUCAAAAAUGGAUGCUGUGACUUUCAUACCACCACUUUUACCCUCAGGAAUGUUGGACGGUUUUACUUCUUUACCAAAACAAAUGUAUUUUCUAGUCAUUCAAUGAGAGCUCUAAGAAAUGAAGCUUUAUUACCAUGUGGCGGGGUGCCCCUUAAGAAAUGGUGAACAUGAAACAAAUAUAAUUCUAAGCAUUCAAAGUCUCAAUAUCUUCCUUCUACUCUGACAUGAAUGGUGGUUCAAUUUCGUGUCAGAGAAAAUGAUUGAAUGAUUUAUGUGAUGAAGGGAAUAUUACAAGUGCCUAAUUAAUACCUACUCUCUAUUUUCCUGGGAUUGAAAACAGUGUCUGUCUAUCCAUCAAUCCACCCAUCUAUCGUGCUUUGUCAUCCUCCAAUAGCUAUACUGAUUGAUCCCUUCCUAUGUUCCAGGUCCCUUUCCUAUGUAAAGGUUUUUCUUAACAUUGCACAGUUUCAUCCGUAAAGUAGCUCAAGGGGUCAGCUAGUAUAUAUCCCAUUUUACAGAUAAGAAAACUGAGGCUUAGACAAGUUAAGAAAGCUGCUAUGACCACACAGUAAACAUGUCUUCAUGCUGGGAUUCUCAGCUUGGGUUUUACUGGCUCUGAAAGCGUGCUCUAUUCUACUGCCUUCUAAUCAUAGCACACCUCUGUCCUCCGCAAGCGGAAUAUUAAAAAAGAAAACCUCCUCCUCUGUCAUUAAGUGUAUUUUUAAGAACGGUCUCACUUUUGGGGUUGACUUAAAAAUGACAUUCUCGAGACGACUGACUAUGCACGUCUCUCCUUCACUGACUCUCUCCUCAUCCCCCUUCAUUUCCUACCCUCCCUCCCCUGGUUCCACCUUGAAUGGUUAUGCACCCAUGGGGGGAGCUGUCAGAGUCGAGUCCUGAACCCUGGAAGAUCCAGGAGUGGGCGCUUCCUGGGUGUUCUUACUCUCCGGAGGUCCUUUGUUUGCUAGAGACAAAAAUCUUCCACGAUGAUACAUCUAGCUCUGUUUUGCCCAUUUCAUUUGUAUCACACAACCAACAAUUGUAUUAUAACUAAUGUUUAUUUAGCACUGAUGACGCGUAGGGCUCCGUGCAGGAAUUCCACCUGACUUUCACAGCUUCAACCCCAGGACAAGCUAAUGGCUCAGGAACGACCACUAUGCCCAUUUCACAGAUGAAGGGAGCAUGAUGAUGAUAUAAAGAGAUAUGAACUGGCAUUUUGUGGUCUCUGAUUCUACAGUUGUGAUUAACUGACAGCAGGUGUCUUUUCCUGAAAACACCCUGCCCUGUGGGCGGGCCUGGGGGACUCCACUCCUCCAGUUUUCCUUCUUUCUCUCCAGUCGUUCCUUCUCAGCCUCCCUUUCGGCAGUCUCUUUUUAUCCAAUCUCAGGGCAAUAAAAUAGACUUUGCCCUUCCCACACCUACAUAUGAGGUCGCUAAUGGCCAUGAUAGGAGGGUGAGGGCUAAGGAGAAAAGGAGCUUUAUUUCCCAAUUCACCAGAUGAACUUCAGCUUUGGACAGUGGACAGACCAGAGGUCAACUCAGGUUGAAUCAUCUGAGUGUGCUGUGACUGGCUUUAUCACAGAAGAAAAUACUGAAUAGCCUUCAGUCAUUCAAUAAAGAUUUAUUCAUGAGUUCUAGCCAUUGCACUCAUCAAUGAUAAACCAAAAUUACUGAGCAUAAACUCUGUCUUUAAUACACUCACAACCUAACAGGUAAACACACAAUUACAAAUCAAAAUAGAAAGAAAGACAAAAAAGAGUCCUAGAGCUCUAGACCCUAGAGCUCUUAAAAAAAAAAAAAAAAAAAAAAAAAAAAAGUACACCAAGAGCACAAAGGAAAGAGUAGUUAAUUUACACAGACUCCUGGGUUCCAGCCUGCCCAGCCCACUGUUGGGGAGUAGUUCUUGGAAGGCUUCAUGGAGGAGGUGACUCAAGAGUUUCUUGCAGACAGUAGCAGGUGGAAGGGUUUAGGGGCAUUCAAGAAGGGAGUGUGCAGGCACUUUGUUAAUAUUUCUAUUAUUGUGAUCGUUCGUACCGAAAGAACUUGUAUUGGUUAUUCCCCAAAGCCCCUACCUUCUAAGUUCUGCAUGAGCAGAUAGGAACACAGUUUUUACUUAAAAUCCAUGUAAUACUUGCAGAGAACCUUAAAGACGCAUGCAGUAAUAUAAGCUGAAGCUUAUCAAAUCUAUAGUUAGAGAUGGCUAAAGCCAGCUUUUAUAAAUAUCUCAUUAAUAUUCAAACCAAAUGAGGGGGGAAGAAAGGCUCUCUAUUCACCUAGUGCAGAAACAGACGUUAAGAGUUUAAGUGACUUACUCAUGAUCUUAGAGGAGUUAAGUGGGUAGAAUCCGGCCUUGGGUAUAUAGAGACUCGAAAUAUAUUCUUCCCCUUAAGUUAUUUUCCUGCCUCUUUUCUCCUAUGAUAUAUUUUGAUGUCAGCCAGUCUGAUGAACCAAGUUGCCACUAAAUGUCUCUUUCUCCCUCUCUCAGAUGCCAGUUUAAUAUGUUGUGGAAUAUACGAAUCAUUUUUUAAAGGCUUGAAUUGUAAAUUUAUGGGGAAAGUGGCAGAUUGCAAAUCAACAGCUUAUCAAGGUCACAUAAAGUAAGCACCCUGCUCUGCAUUUUUAUCUGUUUAUUUCUUUUAAAAGUCAUCUUCCUUGCCUUUUUGGCACACUGUGAACCUAAAAAACAUCCUUCGUGAACAGCAGUGCCAGGGUGAGCUAGCUAUGAGAAUGAGCUAGAAAUGCUUAGAAAUGAGAAAAAGGAAUUUAAAGCCAGAGCAGAAGGCAGAGUUGGAGCUGAUGAGGGAGGCAUCCCAGAGACAGAGGUAAAGAACUCUAAGACAUGAUGCUGGAGGCUUAUCAGCUAGACACCCGGAUUACGCGGCUUUAGUUAUGUUGCUUCUUAAGUAUUCAACAACUGACAGUCCAGCCAAAGAAAUGGCCUUCUCCCUGCUAAGAGUCCAGUGGCUCUUUCAUGACUCGGGAGAACCUAUCAGAGAAUGAACAAGGAGUAAGAUCUCCUCCGUCCCAUGAGGUGAAGAGGACAGACUGAAUUCAGAUACCCAAGUCCAUCUCUUUCUGGCUGUAAUUCACUGAGUGAAUGAUCUAAGAUCUACCUAACUCUGUUUCUCCACCUGCAAAUUAGUAAGUAUCAGAGUCAUUUCUCUCCCAGAGACAUCAUACUCGUGCUUGGUACCGGCAUCUAACAGGCUUAUCAGGAUCAACAAAACUCUGCAUCUUCCCGCUCAUGCCAGCUCUUCUUCAGUCCUCCCCACCUUAGAAAGCGACAACUCCAUCCCUCAAGUUGCUCAAACUGAAACUCAGCUUUCUCAUCCUUAGGCAAAUCCUAUGGUCUCUACCUUCAAACCAUGGCUGACCACCUCCAUGCCGGUCCAAGGCACUGGUAUAGAUCUGCGGAAUUCUCACCACGGCCUCCCGACCACCGCUCUCACUUCUGCUCUUGCCCCUUCAGCAGCCAGAGUGACUCCUCCAAACUCUUUUUCUUUUGGCUUUUUUUUUUUUUUUUUUUUUUUUUUGGCUUUUUAUGGCGGCACCCACGGCAUGUGGAGGUUCCCAGGCUAGGGGUCUAAUUGGAGCUGUUGCUGCUGGCCUACGCCACAGCCACAGCCACACAAGAUCUGAGCCAUGUCUGUGACCUCCACCACAGCUCACAGCAACACUGGAUCCUUAACCCACUGAGCAAGGCCAGGAAUCAAACCUGCAACCUCAUGGUUCCUAAUCAGAUUUGUUUCCGCUGCAUCACAACAGGAACUCCCCCUCCAAACUCUUCAAAUCACUGCUCAGCGAAAGCCCUUUAGAGGCUCCAUCUCAUUUCAAAGAACAGUCCAAGUCUGUCUAACUGACUCAAAGGUCCCGUCCUCUCUG
rnacentral:lncRNA from 1 species